CACCAGGUUGAUUCUGCCUGACGUAUGCGCUUGUCUUGAAGAUUUAGCCAUGCAAGCCAGUGACCGUAAGGAACGGCAGACAGCUCAGUAAUACAGUUAUAAUUUACUCGUAGGAUAUGGAUAACCAUGGAAAACUAUGGCUAAAACAUAGGGAGAAUACCGUCACAGGGAAUUUUGAGGUAUUUGAUACGAUUAAGUUUCUGACCUAUUAGUUAGAUGGUAAGGUAAAGGCUUACCAUGGCUGUGAUGGGUAACGGGGAAUUAACGUUCGAUUCCGGAGAGGGAGCCUGAGAAAUAGCUCCCACGUCUAAGGAUGGCAGCAGGCGCGAAACUUACCCAAUUCCUUGCCGGGAGAGGUAGUGAAGAGACGUGAAAUAUAAUUUAGCGAGGGCAUAUUAAAUGGCAGCCUGUAAACUGGAGGGCAAGCCUGGUGCCAGCAGCCGCGGUAAUUCCAGCUCCAGUAGCGCAUAUAACUAUUGUUGCUGUUAAAACGUCCGUAGUAGAUUAUUCUGUUACUAUGACAAAAAUGUAUAUCUCAAAUGAAAUAUAUAGCAUAGUACAAAGUAAAGACAGGAACAGAUGAUGGCAGCAGUAUUUAAUAGUUAGAGGUGAAAAUCGAAGACCUAUUAAGGACUCUCAGAAGCGAAAGCGGCUGUCAAGUAUCUGUAUCCAAGGACUCACGAUUAUCGAAAUUGAAUGGAUACCAUAGUACCAUUUGUAAACAAUUAGAGUGAGGACUACAUUACUCCUUACAAGAAACCAACGUUUAAUUGACCAGGGGGGAUAGUACGAAAGCAAUUUUGAAACUUAAAGAGAUUGACGGAAGGAUACCACAAGGAGUGGAUUGUGCGGCUUAAUUUGACUCAACGCGGGACAACUUACCAGGGCCGAAUGUCUAUGAGAUUGGCUAUCUGAGAAGAUACCCGAGAUUAGACAAAGGGUGGUGCAUGGCCGUUUUCAACACGUGGGGUGACCUGUCAGGUUAAUUACGAUAACGCGUGAGGCCCUAAAUGCAACAGUGUUGUAUGACGGACAGUGCAAACUGUAGGAAGGAGGGCGAUAACAGGUCAGUGAUGCCCCCAGAUGUUCUGGGCUGCACGCGCAAUACAAUAUAUGAAAAAGAAUAGAGUGUGAAAACUUAGAUUUAAUGUCAUAUGUACCAGGGAUAAGCGCUUGUAAAUGCGUUUUGAACAUGGAAUUCCUAGUAAUCGCAGGUCAUUAUGCUGCGAUGAAUGUGUCCCUGUUCUUUGUACACACCGCCCGUCACUAUCUUAGAUGAAUGUAUAGGUGAAAUGGCUGGACGAAAGAAAGGCAGUUGAACCUGUGCAAUUAGAUAAGAUAUAAGUCGUAACAAGGCUGCUAUAGGAGAACCUGUGGCAGGAUCAAUA
rnacentral:rRNA from 14 species